CAGCGAUGCCGGUGAGCGAUGAAGGCCUUAGGGUUGUAAAGCUCUUUCGCCCGCGAAGAUGAUGACGGUAGCGGGAGAAGAAGCCCCGGCUAACUACGUGCCAGCAGCCGCGGUAAUACGUAGGGUGCAAGCGUUGUCCGGAAUUAUUGGGCGUAAAGAGCUCGUAGGCGGUUUGUCGCGUCUGCUGUGAAAACGCGAGGCUCAACCUCGCGCCUGCAGUGGGUACGGGCAGACUAGAAGCGGUAGGGGAGAUUGGAAUUCCUGGUGUAGCGGUGGAAUGCGCAGAUAUCAGGAGGAACACCGAUGGCGAAGGCAGAUCUCUGGGCCGUAACUGACGCUGAGGAGCGAAAGCAUGGGGAGCGAACAGGAUUAGAUACCCUGGUAGUCCAUGCCGUAACGUUGGGAACUAGAUGUGGGACUCAUUCCACGAGUUCCGUGCCGCAGCUAACGCAUUAAGCGCCCCGCCUGGGGGAGUACGGCCGCAAGGCUAAAACUCAAAGGAAUUGACGGG
rnacentral:rRNA from 1 species